rnacentral:lncRNA from 1 species
UAUACUCCACCUAAUGUUAAAAAAAGUUUUUAGCUUUAAAUAACUAAUGAAAUACUAAUUAGGCAACCCAAGAGGGGGGUGAAUUGAGAUUCUAAAAAUUAAGCAAUUAAAACUUAAUGCAAAUUAAACAAAGCAACCAAAUUUCAAAUAAACAAAUUAAUGUGCAAUGAAAAAUAAAGAGAUAGGGUAAGAGAGAGCAAACACGCAAUUUUUAUGUGGUUUCGACCAACCGUACCUAUGUCCAUGCCUCCAAGCUCACCGAGCUUGAGAAUUUCACUAAACGAGCCUCCAAGGCUUCAACAACUUUUACAAUUGACUUCCAAGGUAUCAAAAGACCUUUAUAACAAGAGAUUAUCCUCAAUCUCUUAACUCAAGUGUAUCUCAACACUUACAUUCACUCAAAAAUCAAGAUUACAAAUGAAUCUUCUCUCACACAAUGUAUUUAAUUACAAAUGAAAGCGCAAUGUGUGAAUGAAUGAAACAACAAAAAAAAUUUAAAGCUCAAUAAUGGUUGUAUACUUAGUAGCAAGCUCAAUGAUAACUCUUGGAUAUCUUUUUAUUUGAAUUUGAUUGGCCCAUUUUAUAGUUGGAGCUAAAAACUAGCCAUUGUUGACAUUCUGAACAAAAUCAGAUCGCUGUUAGCUGCUGUCGGUUAACCGUUUUGAGUAGUCCAAAUGACCGUUGAGCUAAAAUUUCAAAUAAUCAGCUAACCAUUUGGAAUUAUCGGUUAGCCAUUAAUUUUCAGAAAUCUGCAAAACAAAUUUGGCUUGGCCGUUCUUACUAAACGGUUCACGGUUAAAAUGUAAUUCCUUUCUGAAAAUUAUUUGUUAGCCGUUUGAUAUUAUCGGUUAGCCGUUUGAUAUUAUCGGUUAGCCAUUUAUUUCCAGAAACCUGCAAAACAAAUUGUGCUUAUCCGUUCUUCCUAAACGGUCCAUGGUUAGAAACUAACAUCUCUAUGUAAAUAAUCGGUUAACCAUUUUUAACAAACGGUUCACCGUUAUUUUCUAGAAUCAGUAUUUUAACUGACUUUUGCAGCGAAUGAUUUUUUGAUUAAAGUUAACGAUUAUCCCAAUUCAUAAACAUGUCUAGAACUAUUAUACGGUUUUUAAGAAUUUGUCUAUUAAUGAAAGUGAUGUUCAUAAUUUAUAUACAUAUUUUACCCUUUAUUAUGUAUUUGCUAGUUAUUUUUAUUUCUUAUUUUUAAUUAAUUGCAUUAUUUUAUUGAAUAGGAAAUUAAUUUAAGAUUAUGGAUAAAAAGAGCAUAAAAUAGCUCAAUUUUGGAAGCAUUAAAGAUUAAUUGAUUUUUGGAAGCAAUUAGACAUACAUGCAUGUGGAAAUCAAGCCAAGGAACCGAAUUCAACAAGUUAAUUCAUCAUGCGCAUGCGGAUAAAGGAGAGAAAUUGAUUUUAGCUUUAAGAAGGGACCCGCACUUUGCUUUCAUAAAUGGAAAAAGGAAUCCUAUAGCAAUUCUAAGUGCCCAGCGCGUGAGUGAAGCCAAAGCAAAUUAAAAGGCUUGGCCUUUGGCUUAAGAGUUGGAAAAAGUCAUUGGGGCUCAUUUUAAAAGCUAUAUAAGAAAGCUAAACUUUGGCUUUUAAGGAGGGCAGCCGCCAGUAGGUUUGGCAAUUUAGCCUGAUCCUAUUUUUAGUCCGAUUGACCCGACCUUAAUUGUUAGGGCUUUGACCAGAAUUUUUGAAUUUCGGGUCGGGUUCGGGCCACAAUUUUAAGGCCCGAAUAAAUUUAGGGUCAGGGUCGGGCUUUAAGCCAACCUGACCCGACCUAACCCUAUUUGCAAAAAAAAAAAAAAAUCACAACAUGACACACGCACACAUCACAGACAGCCACAACAUCACACGAUUCACAGUUUCACACAACACACACACACAAAUUCUCAAAAACCCUAGGCCAUUAAGCCAGUCACCCAGCCCGCCGUCGAAUCAGCUAGCAUCGUGACUAUCACCACACGCCAGCCAACUAACCGUGUCUUGCCGUCGCGUGUCUCGCUGUCGCGUGUCUCCCUGUCGCGUGUCUCGCUGUCGCGUGUCUCGCUGUCGCGUGUCUCGCUGUCGCGUGUCUCGCUGUCGCGUGUCUCACUGUCGUGUGUCUCGCCGCCAAUCUGCCAUCGUGACAGUCCGCGAUGUGAGUGAACCAGCCAGCCGCCCGUUGCCACACUGCAUACAAUUUUUGAUUUACCCAUAAAACCAACAGCACUCGAUCGGUUCUGUAAUUAUUUCCGACCAAAAUUGUAAGUUCAAAUUAAGUUUAUGACCAAAAUUGUAAGUUCAAUUUUUGACUUCUUUAUGUCCUCCGUUCCAGCAGCCAAUUUGUUUCUUAUAAUUAAGUUUAGGUAAUGAAAUUAGAUGGCAAUGCAAUUGCCAAUUGUUAUUAUAUCUUAUAAUCCAAUUAGAUGGCAAUGAAUUUUUAUUUUAUUUUUGUGGUGAUGGAUUAGAUGGCAAUUGUUAGUAUUAUUUUCUGUUUAGCUUUAAUUAAGCAAUGAGUUUGGCUUUAUAAGCCAAAGUUUGAUUGGAUUUUCAUAGUUCGAUUUGGUGAAUUUGGAAAAUAGCUCUAUGGUGGCUGUUGCUGUUAUAGAUUUCUCUAAAAGAUUUCUCUACCAUUGGCUGUUGUUGUUAUAGUAAAAUGAUUUUUGGAGUCCUUCCAGAGGUGGUGCAAUGAAAAUGGUUGGCUACCAUUUUGGCAAUCCUUGGAAUGGAAGCAAGUGGUUCCUAUGAAAGAAAAUGGUUUCGGUAGGGUUGGGCUAGGCCCGACCUGAUGUUGGCCCGAUUCGAGUCAGGCCCGACUCGACCCUAACUAUAAAUAGGUAGGGCUUUUUUAGGGCCGGGCUUUAAUUCUUUGUUGAUCGGGUCGGGUUGGGUUUGGCCAAGCCCGAGCCCGACUCGAUGUUUUGCCAUCCCUAGCCGCCAGAGGAGGCAAGAAGUGCAGACACAAGGCUGUGAGAGAAGAAUAAAGCAGCGACAGCAGCAAUUUAAUUUUUAUGGCUGGUUUUAUUUAUUUUGUUGCUCUCAAUUCAAGUAUGUCUAGUUAAUUUUUUUUUUACUGAGGUUAAGGAUGAAGCCCUAUUUUAUGAAAUAAUUAUGUUUUUAUUUAAUUAAUUCCCUAUAUAUAUUCUUUGAUGAUUAUGAUUUUUAUUUCACAUGAUUAGUUGGAUGUAAUUAAAAUCUUUUCAUCAAUUCUGUAAUGCAUUAUUGAUUGUUAGGAUUAAUAUUCGAUUAAAUCUAUGCUUGGGUCUAUAAAAUUUAUACAUGAUCAUCUUUGAUUUCAUGUCUUUCAUUAAAUUGUUUACACAGAGUGCUUAGAAAAACUUUGACUCUUUGUUAUUCAAUAUAUUUACAUGAGAUGCUUAGAUGUCAUACUAUUAAGCAGAAAAAGAACCUACAUUAGAUUUAAUUACUUGGGCUUAAUUGUUAUAUCCAUGAGAUGACAUAGAUUGAUUUCGAGUUGUCACUCUAAAAUUGGGGAUUAAUUAAUAAUGGGAAAUUAUCAGCCAUAGACCCUUAAAUAACACUUGUAUCAAACGUGCUACAACAUUUUUCAAGUGUAUCACUCAUAUACUCUAAGUUGACAAAAUAUUUCUGCCAUCCACCAAUACGUUAACUUCCGUUAGAAAGUUAA